ensembl:lncRNA
CUUGACAGCAAUAUGUGUUCAAAAUGAAACCUCUCCUCACUUUUUGCAAAAUCAGUGGAAAUAGGACUUUUAACUGCUGGGAAACAUUUUUCACCUAGUUCACCUUUGUGACAGCAGAUUAAUUACUGAAGUGGAAAACAGUGCCAUAACUUUGGGAGUCCUUCAGCAAAACCACCAAGCCUACUGAGGGGAGGGUCACCUGCAAGUCUGAAGCCCAUAUCAUUAAAGGUAACCAGUAGUUCGUCAGCAGGAGAGGUGCAGUUCAGGAACCUGGGGCUCUGUUACAGGGCAGAUGGACGUGCUGCUGAUCUCCCCUGUCCUGUGUUUGCCCUGCUCGUCAGAGGAAAGUCCACAACGAAUCCCCCAUGGAGGAAGUUGGAGCAUCAGGGAAGACAGCGCUCCCUCUUCUUCGAAUGGGGAGAGGAUUACUCCAUCACGCUGACAACGGCGGCGAGGGGACGUCUCCUUCACCCGGCCGGAUCCAGCACCGCUGCAGCUUUACCCCUGCCGCGAAGGGUGGGCGACGGCAGCCCCUUUGGAAGAGGCAGUUGUGUUUAUAAAACGCUGCAGUCAAAUGCUAUUUAGGUUCUCCGUGAAGCAAAGCAAUAGAUUAAGGGGAUAAAGAAAAAAAAAAAUCUCUUGAAAGAAAUUCCUGUGUGAUUUUAGUGAGAUUUAACAAGAAGGAAAAUCUGAAAACUCUAGACCAUGAGGCUGAUGCAAGCAGAAAAACAUAGCAGGUGUUAAAUUUCUUAAAGGCAAUAUUUUUAAUUAUUUUAACUCAUAAACUAAUUAGCGGAUUUACAUACAAAUGAUGAGAAAACUCAUUCUGCACUCAGCAACACACAUGCUGUCUUUUUCAUACAUAACAAUGAGGCUAUAUCCUUGAUUCAGUCUUAAUUAGAAACUAGUGCUUCCCUAGUAUUUUGUUUUCUGGACAUAGUGUGCAGAAGGAAGUAUAAUAAUUAAUGGCAUAGUUCUGUGAAAGAGCGAUCAACUUAUACAAAAGGUCCAUGAAGUGAGUCUAAGAAAGGAAAGGAUUAAGGUGUAGGAGACGUCAGCUUACAGUUAUGAAAACACAAGGCAAGUAAAAGCUGGCAUAAGAUGGAGGAUGCCGCUCAACAUAUUCAAACAAAAAGAAAAACUUGCAGAAUAAACCAUUUGGAUUUACAUGCUAUAUAGAUUGG